GCACCUUCGCAGCCCCUCCCCUAGAAUUUAGCCACACCCCUAUACAUCUAUGGCGCAUGCGCACUAAUUUAUAUAAAUGCUGAAGCAGAAGCUGAACCUCACAUUUGCAGCAAGUUUGCAGUAUCAAUGUGACUGUCCAUCUCUCUGAGUCUCUACAAAAGUGAAGUGAUCUCUUCAACAUGUCUCUACAUCUCAAGAAGCGCUACUCCACCUCUAAACCUUGCAGCUGCAAAUGUCCACUAAAGCUCAACAAUUGCUCUUAUUCGAUUCGAUUCUUAUAUACGCCCAGCCACGAAUAGAUAGUGUUCAUCACAACACGAAAUUCGAAAACGAACGAUCAACAACAACAAAAAGCACUCAACAGUCAUCUCAUUUAUAUCAGACAUUAUUAUUAUGCUAGAGAGGGGCCCCUCACAGUAGUUAGUAUCUUUAAUUAUUCAUUUUUGUGACAGCAGUAUAUCGCAACAAGUGGCAGUAUCUGCUCUUGAGCACUGACUAAUUAAAUGAUCUGACAACACGAGACCACUAGGUGGAAUAUUGAAGUCAAGUCUAUCCACUACUGAACUAUUGUGAACUAAUGAAGUCUAUCUGAACUAUAUUGAAGUACUGAAGUCUAUCCACUAUAUACUUAUGAAGUCAAGUCUGGAACAUUUCUACUAACAUCACUGACAUGCACUGACACUGGCUAUCAACACUGCAGAUGGUGGUACUCACGCACAGACUGGUUGUGGUCUGAUAGUUAUAACGAGCCUUAUACGUACUGUUAUCAAGCCUUAAAUCGUGUGUACUAAUGUCUACCACCUAAUAAUCUAUUUCUCGCACUGCAUAGUUCUUGCUCUGGGGGACCAACUGGCAGAUCUGACACACUGCACUGCAGAUGGUGACAUUUCAAGAAUCUACAUGAUUAUUAUAAUUAUGGGUUGUAGUUUGGCAUUAGAUAGUUAUCAAGCAAGCCUGGUAUAUUAGCAUGUAUGAGUACUAUCAGGCACUCCUGGUACUAUAUUAAUGAGUCCUAAUCUAUUUCUUACACUACAUGGUUCUUGCUCUGGAGGGGACCAACUGGCGGAAUUUCUAUAGAAAAGACUCUUUUAUGUCCGACACACUGGAUACUGGCAGCAUAUCGAGAACCUACAUAUCGGUUGUGGUCUAACGAUUAAUAUAUUGAGCCUUACACCAUUCUAUCAAGCCUUGUGUAUAUUCGUACAUGUAUGAUUACUACUGAUGUGUCCUACCCCAACAACCAACUGCUUUACUAUAGUCUGUCUCUUUCAAACCUUGCAUCCCUGUAGAACCACUCACCAGCUGCAUGUAUUGUGUGCUUCAGACGUACCUAUAGUAUACUUCCUAUAACCCUAUUCUAACCAAAUUCUCCCACUACAUGGUUCUAGCUCUGGAGGACCAACUGGCAGAAUUUCUAGAAAGACUCGUUUAUUCGACACGCUGGACGAACUACUUGUGGCAUUUCACUAUCAAGAAUCUACAUGUCGCUUGUGGUGGUCUGACAAUUAUUCUAAAUAAUAAUUAUUCUUAUUUGAGCCUUAUACAGUAACAAGCCUUGUGUGUUACAUGACAUGAGUACCUAACCCCAUGCAUGCAUGUACCCUCUAAUAAUCUAUUUCUCCCACUACAUGGUUCUAGCUCUGGAUGACACAACUGGCGGAACUUCUAUAAAAGACUCGUUUAUAUCUGACACUGGAUCGACAGCAUUUCAAACAAGAAUCUACAUAGAGUUCUAGCUGGCUCUUGGGGACCAACUGGCAGAAUCUCUAGAAAGAACUCGUUUUUAUUCGACACACUGGCAUUUCACUAUCAAGAAUCUACAUAUCGGUUGUGGUCUGACAAUUAUUCUUAUUUGAGCCUUAUACAGUAACAAGCCUUGUGUGUUACAUGACAUGAGUGCCUAACCCCAUGCAUGCAUGUACCCUCUAAUAAUCUAUUUCUCCCAUUACAUGGUUCUUGCUCUGGAGGACAACUGGCGGAAUUUCUAUAUAGAGAAAAAACUCCAUAUUACAUCUGACAGUAGAGGGACUGCUGGUGACAUCUAUACGUAUCAGUUGUGGUGGUCUGAUGAUUAAUUCUAAAUAAUUAUAAGCUUUUAUAUAUAAUUAUACAGUUCAAGCCUUGUGUAGUGUAAUUCCAUGUAUGAGGUAGUACUACGUAUGUGUCCUAACCCUACCCUUCACACUACAUGGUUCUGGCUCCGGGGGACCUACUGCACUGGAGGGAGUAUCCACCAUGUCACAUACUGAAUUCAAGCAUGGAACAUACAUAUAUCUACUGAUGUACAUCACCAAAUCCCACAAACACUGAUGGAAUAAGCAACAAUGUCCUCCUCCUCAACCACGACUAUAUAGCUGCUGCAAUGAACCAUCAUACAUAACUCAUCACAAUCAUACUUUUGGGGCGCCCCAUCAUUUUUCAUUUCCUUUUCGUUUGUCAUACUGUAAAUGAAAAAUGAACUCGUUCUCUGGAGGGGGAGUGGUCAGGCCACACCUACUACAACUGUGGCCACACCCACAUGAUGGCCACACCCUCAUGUUAGGCAACAGCAACUCUUACAUGAGAAUCUCCAUUGGAUAGCAAAUUCUAACCACCUGGAUGUAACUAAUUAGUCUCGUGGCCAGACUACCUUCUAAUAACCUGGACUGGGACAGCCUCUAGAUAUCCCAGAUGGUCCCAUGGGUGGAUGGGCGGGGGGCCAGCGAUGCAGUGCCACAUACCCGCGACGGUGCUGGCUGUCACACUGCAUGGAGGGAGGACUCUCUCUCUGCAUGGAGGGAGGACUAUCUCUCUGCAUGGAGGGAGGACUCUCUCUCUGCAUGGAGGGAGGACUCUCUCUCUGCAUGGAAGGAGGACUCUCUCUCUCUCUCUCUCUGGUGUGCAAGAGCACUGCAAACUGAACAAUAAUUAUGAUAAUGAACAUACAAACAUUUUUGAACAUUAAUUUUACAAUGGUUGGUGUAAUGAAAAUGAAAAGACACUUUUAAGUGUUAUAUACUGUG